GAUGAACGCUGGCGGCGUGCCUAACACAUGCAAGUCGAGCGAAGCGCCUUGAAGUCUUCGGACUAAGGGGUGACUGAGCGGCGGACGGGUGAGUAACGCGUGGGUAACCUGCCUCAUACAGGGGGAUAACGGUUGGAAACGGCUGCUAAUACCGCAUAAGCGCACAGUACCGCAUGGUACGGUGUGAAAAACUCCGGUGGUAUGAGAUGGACCCGCGUCUGAUUAGGUAGUUGGUGGGGUAACGGCCUACCAAGCCGACGAUCAGUAGCCGACCUGAGAGGGUGACCGGCCACAUUGGGACUGGAGACACGGGCCCAAACUCCUACGGGAGGCAGCAGUGGGGAAUAUUGGCACAAGUGGGGGAAACCCUGAUGCAGCGACGCCGCGUGAGCGAUGAAGUAUUUC
rnacentral:rRNA from 1 species